rnacentral:rRNA from 1 species
CAUGAACGCUGGCGGCGUGCCUAAUACAUGCAAGUCGAGCGAACGGACGAGAAGCUUGCUUCUCUGAUGUUAGCGGCGGACGGGUGAGUAACACGUGGAUAACCUACAUAUAAGACUGGGAUAACUUCGGGAAACCGGAGCUAAUACCGGAUAAUAUUUUGAACCGCAUGGUUCAAAAGUGAAAGACGGUCUUGCUGUCACUUAUAGAUGGAUCCGCGCUGCAUUAGCUAGUUGGUAAGGUAACGGCUUACCAAGGCAACGAUGCAUAGCCGACCUGAGAGGGUGAUCGGCCACACUGGAACUGAGACACGGUCCAGACUCCUACGGGAGGCAGCAGUAGGGAAUCUUCCGCAAUGGGCGAAAGCCUGACGGAGCAACGCCGCGUGAGUGAUGAAGGUCUUCGGAUCGUAAAACUCUGUUAUUAGGGAAGAACAUAUGUGUAAGUAACUGUGCACAUCUUGACGGUACCUAAUCAGAAAGCCACGGCUAACUACGUG